AGACAAAUGGCAUCGUUAUAAACCAGCCCUUAAUCAUUUCUCAGCUAUCCACCAGCACCUGCAUUACCAGUAGCUGGGACUGGAGGCUGCAGCUUGUCCGCAGCUGUGCUCCGUGUCCUAGGACACAGGGCGGCCCAUCUGAGAGAGACCCAGGGAGACGGGAUGCCCUCCUACCCAAACUGGGACCCCCACCUAUCCGGAGAUGAUCUAAGCUUGGAUCCGGAUGCACUGACUUGGGGAAGCAGGUGUGUGCUAACCAAGAGCCAGGUUCAUUUAUGCCCACCAGUUUUGCAGUUCUGACCACCAUCGUUGGCUCAAUGGACAUGAGUUUGAGCAAACUCCGGG
ensembl:lncRNA